GACGAACGCUGACGGUGUGCUUUAGACAUGCAAGUCGAACGAGAAAGCCCUUCGGGUUAGUAAAGUGGCGAACGGGUGAGUAACACGUGGGCAAUCUGCCCCUCGCAGGGGGACGAACCGGAGGAAACUCCGGCUAAUACCCCGUAAGUUCAAAGGGAGGCAUCUCUCUUCGAAGAAAGGUAGCUUCGGCCAUCCGGCGAGGGAUGAGCCCGCGGUGCAUUAGCUAGUUGGUGGGGUAACGGCCUACCAAGGCGACGAUGCAUAGCUGGUCUGAGAGGAUGAUCAGCCACACUGGGACUGAGACACGGCCCAGACUCCUACGGGAGGCAGCAGUCGGGAAUCUUGCGCAAUGGGCGAAAGCCUGACGCAGCAACACCGUGUGUGUGAGGAAGG
rnacentral:rRNA from 1 species